rnacentral:rRNA from 1 species
UACGUAGGAGGCAAGCGUUGUCCGGAAUUACCGGGCGUAAAGCGCGUGUAGGUGGUGGGACAAGUCUGCUGUGAAAGCGCCUGGCUUAACCGGGCGAGGUCGGCGGAAACUGUCCGACUCGAGGACGGUAGAGGGGGGGUGGAAUUCCCGGUGUAGUGGUGAAAUGCGUAGAGAUCGGGAGGAACACCUGUGGCGAAGGCGGCCCCCUGGGCCGGCCCUGACACUGAGACGCGAAGGCGUGGGGGAGCGAACGGG